rnacentral:rRNA from 2 species
AACCAACAGGGAUUGCCUCAGUAACGGCGAGUGAAGCGGCAACAGCUCAAAUUUGAAAUCUGGCGCCUUCGGCGUCCGAGUUGUAAUUUGUAGAGGAUGCUAUUGGGUUGCCACCGGUCUAAGUUCCUUGGAACAGGACGUCACAGAGGGUGAGAAUCCCGUAUGUGACCGGCCAGGCGCCUUCUGUAUAGCUCCUUCGACGAGUCGGGUUGUUUGGGAAUGCAGCCCUAAAUGGGAGGUAAAUUUCUUCUAAAGCUAAAUACCGGCCAGAGACCGAUAGCGCACAAGUAGAGUGAUCGAAAGAUGAAAAGCACUUUGGAAAGAGAGUUAAAAAGCACGUGAAAUUGUUGAAAGGGAAGCGCUUGCAAUCAGUCUCGACGGCGGCUGUUCGGCCUCUCUUCUGAGUGGUUUAUUCAGUCGCCGCCGGGCCAGCAUCAGUUUUGGCGGUCGGAUAAAGGCGUGGGGAAUGUAGCUCCUCCGGGAGUGUUAUAGCCCCGCGUGCAAUACGGCCCGCCGGGACUGAGGUCCGCGCUUCGGCUAGGAUGCUGGCGAAAUGGUUGUAAGCGGCCCGUCUUGAAACACGGACCAAGGAGUCUAACAUCUACGCGAGUGUUUGGGUGUCAAACCCGUGCGCGCAAUGAAAGUGAACGGAGGUGGGAACCGCAAGGUGCACCAUCGACCGAUCCUGAUGUCUUCGGAUGGAUUUGAGUAAGAGCGUAGCUGUUGGGACCCGAAAGAUGGUGAACUAUGCCUGAAUAGGGUGAAGCCAGAGGAAACUCUGGUGGAGGCUCGCAGCGGUUCUGACGUGCAAAUCGAUCGUCAAAUUUGGGUAUAGGGGCGAAAGACUAAUCGA